CUGGAUAACCUUGGAGGAGGAAAGCUAUUUCAACUCUGAAAAGGCUGGCACAAGAAUGAAGAGAUUUGUUCUGGAAAUUAAAAGAAUCUAAGUAUCACAGCAGUGAAGUGUAUAAACAGUAUUUUUUUGGAGAGUGAGACAGAAAACCUAUCUUUUCCAGUCUUAUACAUGGCUGCUUAUGAUGCGAUUGCUUAUGAGAAGUUGAGUAUGACCCAGAGGAUCCCUCCCAGUCUUGUCUCUUGUGCUCUCAUGACUAAGGACUGGAAGUUGUAGGAGUGCCUUAUUAAAAAGAUUGUUCCUGUGAAAAACAGUGUGCUUUCAACUGAAGUAUUGAGGUUGAAACAUGAAAGCAAAUACAGGAUCAAGUAUACUAAUUCUUGGUAUAUACAAACUACAUAUGUAUGGCAAUACAACAUGUUAGAAAACUAUGUUUUUGAUGUGAAAGAAGUGUUUUGUGAUGGAUCAGACCUCAAGAAGUUAAAUACUGCCAUGAGCUGAUAUUUUUGCUGUAGAUAAAUGGGCAGAGAGACAAGUUUCUGACAUUACUGUGUAUGCAACGCCCCUUGGUAAGUCCUCAGUCUCACACAUCGAAUUUCAUUUUGCUACCUCAUAUAUUGUACCAAAUUUAUCCUUGUUUUCACUCUACUCAACUUAUUAGAGUUAUAUCAGGCAUGAAUUUGGAGUAGUGCUAUAAAACAUUCACGAGAUGAAAAUUAUUAUCUAUAUUAAAGUAAUAAUUUAUGGUUCUCAAGCACCUUUCAGGGUGAGUAUCAAAGAAUGCUUUAAACCAUUCAUGAAUCAAAUCUGGCAGCGCCAUGGAGCCGAGAAGUAUUAUCUCUACAUUGCAGACAAGAGAAGCAAAGGCAGUGAAGGAGGCCGACCAGCAUCCUGUGGUGCUGGGAGCAGGAGCAGGCUGCUGGUUCUGCACAGCAGUGAUGCGUGUGGUGUUUGUACAGGCACCAAGCUGGGUAGACUCAGCCUGUGAAAUUAUUGAUUUCUGAGCACUCAUUUAGUGACUGAGUACCAUAAAUUCUCACCUUGUCUCUGAGAAUUUUUCUUCACAAAAUCUAUUGUAAUUAAAAACGUGCCUUUAGCUGAAGCAUAUCUAAAAUUUGUGAAGGAUGAUAUUCUUGACUAACGAUUUGAAGAAUCUCAACCACAGUAUAAAAUGCUGCUCCUAAAUUUAGACAGUUUUACAUUCUUCUGGCACUGACCAGCACAACAGAAAAACCUGCCUUUUCUCCCCUCAGUGCUGCCACUGAACCUCCAUGUUCCAAAAAGCAAUCUGUGAACUGUGGUGUUUUGGGAGGGACAUUAGGAGAGCCAGAAGCAUCAUUUGAUGGCUAAUAUCAGCCUGAUUCCUUACAUGUAUUCACAGCGAGGGUUGUUUUGUACAGAACUGAGCUGAGACACAGAGGCCUUCUCAGAAGGCAGUCAGCGCUGCACCAGCAGCUGCAGACUUGACAUUCCACCUCAGCAGCAGGAGCACUGAGGGGAAUCCCCAGACCUCUAUUUUCUGUGCCCUGCCACCUCAUCCCCAGAUGUCUGCAUUCCCCAUCAGGACAGUUUAUUUCUCACAGCUGCCUGCACUGAUGGAUUCUUGCCUUCCUCGGUGCUCAGGUGUGGUAGGUGCUCUUUGUGCUGCCCCCAGAGCGGCUGUGAGGAAAGGAGGUGGCGGUUUGUGAUGGUCCGUCUCUGUAUGCUCCUCAGUGGUGAGAGCAAAUAUGCAGCCUGGUCUCAGCUUUUACCAAUUGCUUGUCCAACUCCUCUUCUGCCCUAUAUUCAUCCCUUAACAGUCCUGUGCUGUAUUUUCACCCCUUGUAAAGGUGCUCCAUGCUUGCUGAUGUUCAGCUGUGCAGCCUGCCCUGCUUGUGGUUGCAGGUGCUCUGCCUGCUCUCGCUUCCUGGAGCACUCUGCUUGCACCGCACUGAGGAGUGGAACAUGCUCAGGCUGUCAGUAAGUAAUAAACAGAAGUUGGGAUAGCUUUCAGUACAGAAUUGGCAUUUCUUUUUCCUGUUGGAGAAUUUUUCGUGGACUCCCAGUCUGCUGUUUAAUAACAGCGUAUCUGCCCCAGGAUCAUCUUGGACAUGAAUCUCCUUCUGCAGGUCUUAUUUCCUUCUAUCACCUUAAAAGGGCUCCUACUACCAGUAGCUUUCCAAUUUGAGUUCUGUUGAAGAAUCUGAAUUAGGUGUGAUGAAUAUGGAACAAAUAACUCAUGACACUUUGAAAUUUGUUUAAAAUCAGGCUGGCAGUGCAUUAUAUCAUGCUCUUUUUACUGUUCAAUAAAGCAGUUUAUCGUAUUUUGAAGUUUAAGUGUGGAUCAAAGUACUUUAUUGAAUCAGCUCCUUUGAAGCUCACUGACCUGUGGCAAAUGGGGAAUUCAUAGUGACUGUACCAUCAAACUUUGAUGCCUGGGACUAUUAAAGUUUAAACUUCUCAUUAGAAAGUUAUUAGGAAAUAAUUUUUAAGCGUGCUUUUUUCCUCCUGCCUAAAAUGUUGUGGAGAGGUUAAACAAAAACAUUUGAGAAUUGAAAUCAAGCUUCUAUGCACAAUUUUCUUAUGUAUGUCUUAUAAAUGAGAAAAUUAUGCAUAAGAUAAUUUCUAUCCUAGCUUUGGUUAGCAGUAUGUUUGUUCACAGCUUAACUUUCCAUUACUUUCUGAACUUUCCACAAACUUGCUUUCACUUUUGUCUAGAUUUAUUCAUACCAAAAGUGCCUCUUUUCAUUUGUUCCAGUCUCUUCUGAAUUAUCUUUAAAAGAUAAAGAGAGACAGCGACUUACUAUGGAGUUACAUUGUACAAAAUCCCAUUAGUGUAGAAAGCUCUCUCUUGAUGCUUGAAAGUAUUAACUCUGGCAACUACUGAAUGCCUUUUCUUACCAAUAAAGUGACUUUCACUGAAAAUAAUUGGGAUAGAAUCACAGAAAAUAGGUGCUGAAAGGCAUAUUCAAUUACCAAGAAUACCCCUCUGCUUACUGUAGUAGAUUCAUUAAUGCUGGAAUGAUUGUUCACAUUCCUUGUUGCCGUAUAUCAGAACAGCCCCCCAGGAAUCUGUCGUACUUUCUCAGUUUAUUUGAAGAUUUGCCUUGAGAUCUGAUAUAAAAUAAAUUCCGAGCUGGAAACUUUGUCAAAAUUUUAUUCGUGCUGAGUAGUCGUCAACAAAUAAGGUUAUUUUACAAACAGGGCUUAGGUAGGAGCUAAUAAAAUGUGAGCGUGUACCUGAAUUGUUCUCUGUUGGAUAUGGUUUUAAUCUUUUUUAGAGGAAGAGAGGAAAACAUAAGACUUCAGGGACUUCUCUAUAUUAUCACUAUUUAUCAGUUAAAACAAGGAUUUGGCAUCUCCUCUUUGUGUCUGAGAUUCCCCCUCUGCUUCUUUGGUAGUCUGCUUUUAUAGUUAGACAUGAUUAGUACUCUAUUCAUUAAAGAUUUUGGGGAAUCUACUUUUCUAAAAGCAAAUACUCUUCUAUCUGGGCUCAAUCCUGGCGUUCUGCUUACAGAUUUUGUUGCUUAGCUAGCUGUACUCUGAGAGAUGAGGCAGGACAAUAUGUAAUGAAAUUCCUGAUAGAGAAAUAUAUCUACACACACACCCUACUGGGUUUAGUGGUGUUGAUCACUUUGGAAAUACCAGGCCUUAUUUUCAUGACCUAGUUUAGUCUGGCUUGGGAAUUCUGUUUGCAGCCAAUUUGGAACUUGCACAUUUCCCACUGUGUGUGGCAACCAUAUCUGUUUCAUCAUGUGGAGAGCCCAGAUGAACACUAAUGGUAAUGGUUAAAUUUGUUCCACAACAUACCAGUGUGUAACUCUGAAUGAAUGGUCUGAACAAGAGGUUUACACAGGCACACUAAGGAGACAGCAUCUCAAAAUAACACGACAUCCAGACAGUUAGGGU